GAUGAACGCUGGCGGCGUGCUUAACACAUGCAAGUCGAGCGAGAAAAGUUCUUCGGAGCUUUUCUAGCGGCGGACGGGUGAGUAACACGUGGGCAACCUGCCUCAUAGAGGGGAAUAGCCUUCCGAAAGGAAGAUUAAUACCGCAUAACAUUGUUGAAAGGCAUCUUUUAACAAUCAAAGGAGCAAUCCGCUAUGAGAUGGGCCCGCGGCGCAUUAGCUAGUUGGUGAGGUAACGGCUCACCAAGGCGACGAUGCGUAGCCGACCUGAGAGGGUGAUCGGCCACAUUGGAACUGAGACACGGUCCAGACUCCUACGGGAGGCAGCAGUGGGGAAUAUUGCACAAUGGGGGAAACCCUGAUGCAGCAACGCCGCGUGAGUGAUGAAGGUCUUCGGAUUGUAAAGCUCUGUCUUUAGGGACGAUAAUGACGGUACCUAAGGAGGAAGCCACGGCUAACUACGUGCCAGCCGCCGCCGUAACAC
rnacentral:rRNA from 1 species